rnacentral:rRNA from 1 species
GACGAACGCUGGCGGCGUGCUUAACACAUGCAAGUCGAACGGAAAGGCCCUGCUUGCAGGGUGCUCGAGUGGCGAACGGGUGAGUAACACGUGGGUGAUCUGCCCCUUACUUUGGGAUAAGCCUGGGAAACUGGGUCUAAUACUGGAUAGGACCAUGCUGUAGGUGGUGUGGUGGAUAGAUUAGUUUCGGUAGGGGAUGAGCUCGCGGCCUAUCAGCUUGUUGGUGGGGUAAUGGCCUACCAAGGCGUCGACGGGUAGCCGGCCUGAGAGGGUGGACGGCCACAUUGGGACUGCGAUACGGCCCAGAAUCCUACGGGAGGCAGCAGUGGGGAAUAUUGCACAAUGGGCGCAAGCCUGAUGCAGCGACGCCGCGUGGGGGAUGACGGCCUUCGGGUUGUAAACUCCUUUCAGCCAUGACGAAGCCCUUGUGGUGACGGUAGUGGUAGAAGAAGCACCGGCUAACUACGUG